GCCGAGAUCGCAUAGCCUGGUAGUGCGCGCGACUGGAAAUCGCGUGGGCCUGUUCCCUCGGGAGUUCAAAUCUCUCUCUCGGCGCCA
rnacentral:tRNA from 3 species